rnacentral:rRNA from 1 species
AGAGUUUGAUCAUGGCUCAGAUUGAACGCUGGCGGAAUGCUUUACACAUGCAAGUCGAACGGCAGCACGGGAGCUUGCUCCUGGUGGCGAGUGGCGAACGGGUGAGUAAUAUAUCGGAACGUAUCCAAUAAUGGGGGAUAACUAAGCGAAAGCUUGGCUAAUACCGCAUACGCCCUGAGGGGGAAAGCUAGGGAUCUUCGGACCUGGCGUUGAUGGAGCGGCCGAUAUCUGAUUAGCUAGUUGGUGGGGUAAAGGCCCACCAAGGCGACGAUCAGUAGCUGGUCUGAGAGGACGACCAGCCACACUGGAACUGAGACACGGUCCAGACUCCUACGGGAGGCAGCAGUGGGGAAUUUUGGACAAUGGGCGCAAGCCUGAUCCAGCCAUUCCGCGUGAGUGAAGAAGGCCUUCGGGUUGUAAAGCUCUUUCGCAAGGGAAGAAAGAUUACUCUCUAACAUAGAGUGAUUAUGACGGUACCUUGAUAAGAAGCACCGGCUAACUACGUGCCAGCAGCCGCGGUAAUACGUAGGGUGCGAGCGUUAAUCGGAAUUACUGGGCGUAAAGCRUGCGCAGGCUGUUUUGUAAGUCAGAUGUGAAAUCCCCGAGCUCAACUUGGGAACUGCGUUUGAAACUACAAGACUAGAAUAUGUCAGAGGGGGGUAGAAUUCCACGUGUAGCAGUGAAAUGCGUAGAGAUGUGGAGGAAUAUCAAUGGCGAAGGCAGCCCCCUGGGAUAAUAUUGACGCUCAUGCACGAAAGCGUGGGGAGCAAACAGGAUUAGAUACCCUGGUAGUCC